rnacentral:rRNA from 1 species
CUCCCAGGCGUCGAGCGGCGGACGGGUGAGUAACGCGUAGGAAUCUACCCAGUAGCGGGGGAUAGCCCGGGGAAACCCGGAUUAAUACCGCAUACGCCCCACGGGGGAAAGGCCGGGAUCUUCGGACCGGUCACUAUUGGAGGAGCCUGCGUUGGAUUAGCUAGUUGGUAGGGUAAAGGCCUACCAAGGCGACGAUCCAUAGCUGUUCUGAGAGGAAGAUCAGCCACACUGGAACUGAGACACGGUCCAG